UCGAGGGGUAUAGGUUUUCGGACCUAGAGACCGGCGCACGGGUGCGUAACGCGUAUGCAAUCUACCUUUCACAGAGGGAUAGCCCAGAGAAAUUUGGAUUAAUACCUCAUAGUAUAACGACUCGGCAUCGAGAUGUUAUUAAAGUCACAACGGUGAAAGAUGAGCAUGCGUCCCAUUAGCUAGUUGGUAAGGUAACGGCUUACCAAGGCUACGAUGGGUAGGGGUCCUGAGAGGGAGAUCCCCCACACUGGUACUGAGACACGGACCAGACUCCUACGGGAGGCAGCAGUGAGGAAUAUUGGUCAAUGGACGCAAGUCUGAACCAGCCAUGCCGCGUGCAGGAUGACGGCCCUAUGGAUUGUAAACUGCUUUUGUACAGGAAGAAACAGUUCUACGUGUAGAACCUUGACGGUACUGUAAGAAUAAGGAUCGGCUAACUCCGUGCCAGCAGCCGCGGUAAUACGGAGGAUCCAAGCGUUAUCCGGAAUCAUUGGGUUUAAAGGGUCCGUAGGCGGUUUAGUAAGUCAGUGGUGAAAGCCCAUCGCUCAACGGUGGAACGGCCAUUGAUACUGCUAAACUUGAAUUAUUAGGAAGUAACUAGAAUAUGUAGUGUAGCGGUGAAAUGCUUAGAGAUUACAUGGAAUACCAAUUGCGAAGGCGGGUUACUACUAAUGGAUUGACGCUGA
rnacentral:rRNA from 1 species